rnacentral:rRNA from 1 species
GACGAACGCUGGCGGCGUGCCUAAUACAUGCAAGUAGAACGCUGAAGGAGGAGCUUGCUUCUCUGGAUGAGUUGCGAACGGGUGAGUGACGCGUAGGUAACCUGCCUGGUAGCGGGGGAUAACUAUUGGAAACGAUAGCUAAUACCGCAUAAUAGCAGUUAUUGCAUGAUAACUGUUUGAAAGGUGCAAUUGCAUCACUACCAGAUGGACCUGCGUUGUAUUAGCUAGUUGGUGAGGUAACGGCUCACCAAGGCGACGAUACAUAGCCGACCUGAGAGGGUGAUCGGCCACACUGGGACUGAGACACGGCCCAGACUCCUACGGGAGGCAGCAGUAGGGAAUCUUCGGCAAUGGACGGAAGUCUGACCGAGCAACGCCGCGUGAGUGAAGAAGGUUUUCGGAUCGUAAAGCUCUGUUGUAAGAGAAGAACGAGUGUGAGAGUGGAAAGUUCACACUGUG